rnacentral:pre_miRNA from 1 species
GAGGUACUCCCUCCGUCCGAAAAUACUUGUCAUCAAAAUGGAUAAAAGAGGAUGUAUCUAGAUGUAUUUUAGUUCUAGAUACAUCUCCUUUUCUCCAUUUUGAUGACAAGUAUUUUCGGACGGAGGGAGUAUGUA